GGGCCCUCCGUGCACAUGCAUGAUCNGACCCACCGCCGUGUAACAAGCGGAGCUAGUAGGUGUCAUACUUAGAAUGACAAAUACAUCACGGCAAGAUCGUGAAACCAUGGGCCAACGGGGUCGAAGCUUCUUCGAUCGGAACUUUGCUUCCGAUCAUCUUGUGCGCGAACUGGAGACGCACUUGAUCGAAGUGGUUUUGGCAAGAAAGAAACCGAAAUGAGAAUAUUGGUACUAGGUGUCGCGGGGUAAAGCCCUGGGCUCAACCCAGGAAGUGCAUUGGAAACUGUCAGACUUGAAUACGGGAGAGGGUAGUGGAAUUCCUAGUGUAGGAGUGAAAUCCGUAGAUAUUAGGAGGGAACACCGGUGGCGAAGGCGGCUACCUGGACCGAUAUUGACGCUGAGACGCGAAAGCGUGGGUAGCAAACAGGAUUAGAUACCCUGGUAGUCCACGCCGUAAACGAU
rnacentral:rRNA from 1 species